AACGAACGCUGGCGGCGCGUCUUAAACAUGCAAGUCGAACGAUCUGUAGCAAUACAGGGAGUGGCGGACGGGUGAGGAACACGUAGGAAUCUACCUUGAAGAGCGGGACAACUUUGGGAAACCGGGGCUAAUACCGCAUAGUACAGAGAUGUUAAAGGGCUAGCAAUAGUCGCUUCGAGAUGAGCCUGCGGUCUAUCAGCUUGUUGGUGAGGUAAUGGCUCACCAAGGCUACGACGGAUAGCCGGUCUGAGAGGAUGAUCGGCCACACUGGCACUGAGACACGGGCCAGACUCCUACGGGAGGCAGCAGUUAAGAAUCUUGCGCAAGUGGGGGAAACCCUGACGCAGCGACGCCGCGUGAAGGAUGAAGGCUUUCGGGUUGUAAACUUCGGUAGACUGGGAAGAAGAAAUACGUUCGUUGGAGGCGUAUAGUGACGGUACCAGUCUG
rnacentral:rRNA from 1 species